CCUGGAUAGCUCAAAGGGAGAGCAGAGGACUGAUAAUCCUUGGGUUGUGGGUUCGAAUCCCAUUCCGCAGAG
rnacentral:tRNA from 1 species